ACAAGGUCCACGCGGCAAACCUCCGAUCGAUCCUAAAAAAACAGUGUGAAAAAAAUCUAUGAAAAAAAACCUACGAAAAUUAACGAGUCCCUCGCACGUACGAGCGAUUCAUCCUGCCUCAAGCACUCGCACGCACGAGUCGUUCGCCGCCGUCAUCCGUCCCUACGUCCCCGUCGCUCAUUCCCUUCGCCGCCGCCGAUCUCACUGGGAAAAACCCGCCAGAUCUCGCCUCCACGUUACAGAAUCGGCGCCCGAUCUCCUGGACACAGCGCCGCCGUCGUGCGAUCUGCGAACUGACGCAGACGCACAACAACGACGCCGCCGCCGAUCUCACUAGAAAGACCCUGCCGGAUCUCGCCUCCAUGUUAAGGAACGGGCGCCACGGUUCUGAAUCACCGCCGCAGACGCAUUUCGGUUUCAACCCCAGUUACAUAUGGGGAAUCCACACAGCAAGCCAACGGAGCAGACGACAUCGUCACAUGUACCUCCAGGAGUCCAUAUUACUCCCUCGGAACGGGUGAUAGUUGAACAGACCGAUGGUGAUAGACUGAUACCACAUAUGAUACUCCAGACCUGAUGGAUGGGACAAAUGUUGACGACUAUAACCCAGAGAUUAUACCCGUAGCUGAUAAAGUUGACAAGAUUUACCCAAGUAGUCCAGGAGUCCAUAUUAUUCCCUCGGAACGGAUCAUAGUUGAACAGACCGAUGGUGAUAACACAUAUGUUCAUCAACCUUCCCAUCUGAUUUCGGACAACCGUCCGAUCUAACUCCUAUAUAAUGGAGAUACGUUGCCGGCUCCUAGUAAUCUGACACAAAAUUAUGCGACAAAUGUACCACAAAGUUCAAAUGCUGUACAUGCUCCUGGUCGUGAUGCCUUGGAGGUUUUACCUGUGUCUGAUGCAACAUCCGAUCACAUGAAGACAGGAGCUGUCAU